rnacentral:lncRNA from 1 species
AAAUCACCCAAGGCUGCUGCGUGUGGCAGUACAGCCAAGGACAGAGCCACAGCAUUUCACUCAUGCAUCUGCGCUCCUGCUGAAGCCAAACGCAGCCACAGCUGAGGGGAAUGAAGAGGGGAAGCUCUUUUGCAGCAAGCAAUGUGGGAUACUUGAGAAGAGAAAAUGAACUUCCAGGUUAUGUUGGCAGCAUGACUUGUGGCUCUGAGCCCAGCUGCAAGGAGAGACGUGUGCCUCCCACCACCUCCUCCCAGAAGGAUGUCAUCAAGGCAGCCCCGCCAGGGACCAGCACCUGGCCAAAUGGAAGAACAGCAAAUGGCUGGGUGGAAAGAUUCCAGACAGGGCUGGACUGGCAGCUGGAUCUUGCCCUCACUAUGUUCUGUGCGCUUAAUAGGUAUUGCAAUUAUCAUGUAAUUAAAGAACAUCAUAACAUGUACAAGUAG